GCCAAUAGAAUAAGAGAGAGAUGGCAAGCCUAGGUCAGAAGAGGCCUUUGUGUUUCUACUUGUACUCUUCCUGAGCCAUGCAGGACCGGAGAGAAGCAUCCUUCAGGCAGCCCCUGCUCUACCCUGCUCUUAGGAUGUGACCAGGAUUAACAGCGUUCGGCAAGGAGCCCAGCUGAGCCAGAGCUGGCAAAGAAGCAGCUAGUUCUCGACCCAAACUAAGACCUCGCUCUUACAAAUAAUGGUGACUAUUCACUGAACACCAGACUGUGCCAGAUGUCACAACUUAUUUUCAACUCUGAAAUGCAGACAAGAAUGGCACCUAUCAACCUUAAGUGAGUUUGACCUAGGCUGUCGAUUGCCCUGUAAUUGGAGAUAAAGUAGCAGCAAACAUCUUCAAACAAAUGUGCCCUCUUUGGUAUGAUACAGCCCUUUGAGUCCAUGUUCGCGAGCUCACGGCGGUAAGGUGGUUCCUGUGGUCAUUCUAUUUUUAGUUUCCUGAGAAAUCUCCUCACAGAUUCCCAUCGUGGCUGCAUCCCCCAACACUAUUACAAUAGUAAUAUGAGCUCCUAUUUUUACACAUUCUCCCUAAAAUUUAUCACUUUUUUUUCUUGGUGAUAGGCAUUCUGACAGGAGGUAGAAUAUCAAAAUAGCUUUAACAUCAUUAUACUGAUGGCUAAAGAUGUUGAAGACUUUAAAAACAUUACAACUUUUUUUUUUGUCCAUUCAUGUUUCUUCUUUUGAAAAGAAGAACUGGUCCAUGUAUUUGUUGGUAGCUAUAGUUUUUUUGAUGUUUAGUUUCUGAAGUUCUUUUUUCUCAACUUUGUUUUGUUUUGUUUUGUUUU